GAAUUGUAGCUCAGUCGGAAGAGCAUGAGACUCUUAAUCUCAAGGUUGUGGGUUCAAGUCCCAUGUUGGACCA